UACGUAGGGUGCGAGCGUUAAUCGGAAUUACUGGGCGUAAAGCGUGCGCAGGCGGUUGGUUAAGUCUGAUGUGAAAGCCCCGGGCUCAACCUGGGAAUGGCAUUGGAAACUGGCUGGCUAGAGUGUGGCAGAGGGGGGUGGAAUUCCGCGUGUAGCAGUGAAAUGCGUAGAUAUGACACAGAACACCGAUUGCGAAGGCAGCUCACUAAGCCAUAACUGACGCUGAUGCACGAAAGCGUGGGGAGCAAACAGG
rnacentral:rRNA from 1 species